CGGACGGGUGAGUAACGCGUGGAAAACCUGCCGUAUACUGGGGGAUAACACUUAGAAAUAGGUGCUAAUACCGCAUAAGCGCACAGCUUCGCAUGAAGCGGUGUGAAAAACUCUGGUGGUAUACGAUGGUUCCGCGUCUGAUUAGCUAGUUGGUGGGGUAAUGGCCUACCAAGGCAACGAUCAGUAGCCGGCCUGAGAGGGUGAACCGGCCACAUUGGGACUGAGACACGGCCCAAACUCCUACGGGAGGCAGCAG
rnacentral:rRNA from 1 species